ACAAAGGGCAGCGGCAGCACAUUCAGAACAGCCGCAAACACACCACAGCGAAAUGCGAGUGCGGUGACGCAACGAGAAGGGAAACGCCAGAUGGCGAUGCUUAGCACAGAAGCUUGGUGGCGCACGGAGGAAGGAAACUAAGGAGAGGCUCUGACGUCACUCUUUGUGAAGCAAAAGUGAAGCCGGAAGUUGGCGUUGCUCAUGGCGAUGCUCCGCCUUUUGUGCCACCCUCCUCUCUUGUUUACAUCUUUCGCGAAACCACGCCGCGCUGCGCGUGGUUUCGCACGCGGAGCGCGCGCGCUCGCGCAACAUCCGGCAGAGCACGGUGCAGGUAACACAGCGCAACAAGACACGGUGACUAACGCAAACCCGCCCACACAGCGCCUUUGCCACGGCACGAAACCUACCAGAGCAACACGUGUGCGCGCUCAAAAAAUCAGAACAACGCCGCCAUUGUGGCCCAAAAGGCGUGGCCAUACAGCAAAAAAAAUAAAAAAGCAGCAAAAGAAAUGAGAACCUAUACGUCAUUUCCGCCACACUUUUCUCCUAGCGCGCGGAGGGGGUAGGGCCUCUCCUUAGUUUCCUUCCUCCGUGUUGGUGGCGCAACCCACCGCCCCGUUCGAAAGGGGACGCUCAUAACAUCCAUCCAUCCAUCCAGCAAAAACGCAGUUUCUUUUUUUUUUUUUUUUUUAGAGCAAUAUCUAAUAUGGCCGCUUCUCGCCGGUAGCGUGCGCUGGUACGCGCUGUGCUCGCCCUGCUGGCUAUGCAUUCUAUGGCUCUGCGGCAUGCCCUGUUUUGGCUGCCGCGUAGCUGGUGCGCUCUAAUUGCCAGGAGACCAAAGAGCCUCUACUGACGCCCAUACAAACAAGACAAGUGAGUGAACUGAACGUGCGACUUUAUUGGCAGAAGAAAAGCAGUGUCCCUGUACAUUCUCGUGCAACAACAAAAAUAAAAUUUGCAUGUCGAGAUACGCUGGAAUAAGUAACGCGAGCUCCUACUUCGUUGUCCAACCUGGCGGUCUGGUAACAAGCGACAACCAGCAGUGCAAACAGGUUGGACAGAGCGUCCCACCUGUUUGAACCGACAGUUGCCGUUGAAAGUGACAGUUGGCAUCUUCAUAACAGAGAGGUGGAUCAUGCUACACUGAGGCUCAAGGGCUAACUGGACAAACCUAGCCGAGCUAGACAAGGGUGGACCAGUGCAUGGUACUGGCUCGGGUCAGGCCAGGGAAAAGUGUCCAUGCAGUGCUCUACUUUUAUGCACUGUUUUCAAGUACUGAAAUUUCAUCCUUAAAAAAUUUCUAGGUAUUGCAAGCAUACUAUGCUCUUCUAUAUCCAUCACAGCUGCCUCUCAUUUUCACAACAAAAUAGCUGUAAAAAUAAGGUAUACUGAAGCAUACACUAAUGUUUUGUUUAUGUGUUCCUGUCGUAUGUUGAAAGGCAACGUUUUGGUUGCAAGGCGACUUUCAGUUGUGUUUUGCCUCGGCACCAUGACAAUGACGUAUUGUCAAAAAUUCAUUCAACAAGAGAGAUAGCAGUUGAUGCCACAACGUCACGCUUACUUUUUAAGUAGCCGGAACACAUUUUUACACAAAAUGAAUUCGCCCAAGGCGCACGAUCACCAGGUCACUACAGAUGUUGGUAAAGCACUAUUUAUUUCACACAACUGUUGCACCUUACUUGCAACUGUUGCAUCUUCCUUUCCUUAAAUUCCUUUCUUUUUCACACGGAAGGGAUGGUUUGCAUAAAAUUAAAAUAUCCGGAUACACAAAAAUACGGAGCAGUAAAGAAAGGUAAAGCGGCAGAUGAGCAAUAUUGUCGCUCCAACGUAGUGACAAAUGAGCUGCUACAAAUGCUUCUUAACAGUCAUUCUUUAACGGUACGAGUGGUGCCUGCAUUGCGUUUAGAAAAAAUUUACGAUACACUACCGAGGUUUUGCUUCAUUUAUCAUGUUAAAGGUAAACAGCCGGACUCCGCUGUUAUACUCUGCGUCGUCGCAAACUACUGAAAGGCGUCACAACGCAUCUACAGCGCGUAAAUGUAUAAAGCAAGGCUAUCAAAAAAUGCAAAUCGGAGCGCCGAACCUACGCGUCUUGUUGGAAAGACGAAGCGAGUGCUCUUCAAAACGCAAUAAACAAUGGCCACAUAUCGAUUUAUCAAUAAAGAUCGUUAUAAAACGCAUCUGUGUACUGGCGGUGCAAAAAAUACAAACUGUUUGAAGAAUUUAAACCAUUUAAACUGGGACUGAAUCUUUCAAUGACACGGACGCCCUGCAACAAACUGAUAGAAUAACUUCCGAGCGCUGAGAACAAAAUUAACGCUUACAAAAAAAAAAAAAAAAAAAAAAAAGACUGGCUUUGCUAGUUUCUGUUUCGGUUUCUGAUGCACGAAGCGCCACCUGCUUCCUGCAAAAAGUGCCAUGGCAGCUUCCUGUUUACUUUUCGAAGUUGGCGUAACUAACGCAGCUGAGUCUCGAAGCUUUCGUGUGCCGUUAUGCAUAACGCAAUGUCAUUGAAUAGAUGCUGUGAGUAUUUGUGGAGCCUCUAGAAAGUCCUGCAUCGAUGCGUGUGUGUCUUUGUAUACGCGCCAUCUCUGGAGUGUGUGCAAAGUUCUUGGCCUCGGUCCAAAAUUUGCCCAAGCUACCAGCUGGACUAAACUGGAACUUCCCUGUCCGUCAUAAGUAAAGUGUCCAGAAGAGCCCCGCAAGAAGAUGGUGUGAGGAUGAACUCGGAAGGUUUAGAUGCCCUGUUAUGAUGUAAGCCCCCAACCUUCUAAGUUACCUGUAAAAUGUGUAGUCUUACCUGAAGAGUAAUUCAUUGUGUGUCAUACCAGCUGACAAAGAGGGUGGUUUUGCAGUUUUUUCCUUUAAAUGUUUCUUGGAAAAAGCCAGUCAAGCAAUUUCUGCAGUGUUCAAUGAGCGCAAGGAUGUAUCACUUAUGAAAGUAGCAGCAAAACCAAGUGAAAUUUACAGAAAGUUGAAUCUCGAUAAACUAAGGAAAAGCUCAGAGAUGUAAUUUUUAGUAAGUGCACAAGGAGAAUGUUCCUUUUCGGGUCAUAAUUUCCGAAAGGGCUACCUGGCAGAAGCAAGCUGCCCUGUACCUGGUUUCAAAGCUGAAUGUUAAAGAGAUUGAUGACCAGUUUCUUGUAAAAGGUUCUGACGAAUCCUUGAUUUUGUUAGGUUUCACGGCAAAAAGGGCUUCAAGGCCUUCUCAGCUAAGGUCAAAGAAUUAUAUUAUUCUAUCAUGCUCAAUGACCUUAUCCAAUGUGUCGAGGAUUGUAUUGACAAAUAUGGCGCUGUAAGGUUUUCACAGGAAGCAGGUUGUUUCAGUAGAAGGGUAUUUAGAAUUAUGGUGUUUUUACAUGUCGUCAACCUUUGCACAGUGGAACAAUAGGCUGAAUCUGCAGAAGAAAGGCAUUUGCAUAGGGUUGUGUCUGGCUCCCGUCUUUAGCAACCUAUAUUUAGCACAAUUAGAUAGGCACAUAUAUGACCACCUCACGGGACUAACAGUUUUUCAGCGAGCUUUUAGAUUUGUCAACAAUUUUUUAGUGUUUCUGGAUUUCCCUAGUAAUAGUUUUCUAGAAAAAUGUCCUGAUGUCUAAGAUUUCUUGCGAGUGUUUGAGACCUCUUGAAGUGACUUUUGAAGUGCAAAACGUUUCAGUUUCUUGACUUUCAGUUCAUCUUUACUGACAGUAGGACUUGCUGGGCUUACAGUCCAUGAGCUAAGAAACCCCUUCUCCAAUUUCAUUCAGCCCAUUUGAAUUUGGUGAAGAGGGGCAUAACUAACUAAUAGGGAUGGCUUUCUGCCCACUACUGCGCAUGUGGAUGUAGGCCGAAAUUCAAAAAAUGUUUUAUCGUUGCAAAACACGGAGACCGUGUUACACGUGAGAUAAUCAAAGUGGGAGAAAUUCUAUGUUUAAAGGAUGGUUGCAUCAGCACCCCUCUAUCGCUCUCACUGACAAGGAGAUCAGACACCUCGGGCUAUCACCAUGUUGAAUUUUGUGUGGCUUUGUCGUGGCGUUCUAAGUAUGGUUGGGGGGCUAUUGUGUGACUGUAUAAAUAGCGAUGCUUUCUGAAAAGAAAAUAAACAGUUGGAAGUUCAGCGCUCCGUUCUCUCUUCUAUCCCUUCUGGUGGCUUUGCGCUGUUAACCUGACUUUGAAGCAUAAUUUAUCAACAAACCCAAUCUUACACCCUUCGUAACUAACGUGUUUCAAAAACGUCCUAAUGAAAACCAGUUUCCAGCAACAGGCUGCAAGUCUUAAGGAGGCUGGUUAUCCUAACCACGUGUUGGUGUCGGUGGCAGAAAGGCUGCUGAAACAGGAACGUUCGAGACGAUUCCUCCGUGCAAAUGCAAGAGCUAGCAGCUGUGACCAGGUGAAAACCACUGUGAUUCCGUAUAUGCACCAGAUAUCACAUAGCCUGAAAAAGAUAGGAAGCCAAGGUAACGUGCGGGUGUUUUUUCAGCUCCAAAUAAGCUAAGCACCUUGUGUAAAACCACUAACCCAAUAAGGACAAAAAAGCCGGUUUGUGGUAGAAUCGCAAAGAUGAGUUCGUCGGAUGCGCUGUAGGAGUGGUCUAUCAUAUUCCACUGUCAUGCGGUAGUUGCUACAUAGCCCAAACCGGAAGAUGCAUUAAUGAGCACUUAAGAGAGCACAGAAAUAUAGUGUAUCAGGUGACGAUUUUCUUGCUUUGCAUUGCAAUACAUGUCCACGUCGCCCUCUUCUAAAUGACACCGCUGUUAUAUACAGGGAUAAGCAUAAGUGUGUAACAUUAAUAGUAUAAACUGGGCAAAUCCUCUCGGCCGCUGACCAAUGUAUCAGCAAACUAUCACUAUCAUUGUCCGUGAGAAAGUUAGAUUAUUUGCGCAUGCCAUGAAAGUUGACUGCAUUUGCAAUGGAUCAUUUAGGUUUCUUGGUGUUUUCUUGUUGUACCUGUUUUAGACAGUGUGGCUCUACUCAUGAGCCAUAUAUACAGUCGACUUCCAUUAAUUUGAUCAUCUUUCUGGGGUUUUACUUGCCAAAACCAGUUCUGAUUAUGAGGCAUGCCCGUUAAUUCGAUCCUGACGGGACCAUUGAGACUGGUCGAAUUAAACAAAAGGCAUAAAAAACAUUGAAACAUGCCAUUGCUUCACUUUGCAGUAUUUGCCUUUAAAAUUAACUUUGGUCGCAUUUCAGUUUAGCGCUACACCUGCAACGAUCAACAGCUACCAACUCGCCCAGUUUACUAUUUUUCUUAAUGUUAGCUUCACUGCAAUACAGCCAUGUUAUGCAUAGAACCAUACCAAGCAGGGAAAGGUGCCAUUGUUGCAAGACAGCACGUGUUCCCUAAUUUACGUACAUGCACAUGUGCAGUCUCCAGUCACAGUAUGAGCACCAAGACGCCUAAUAGGUGUAUGGGCAGGCCUUCAGAGUUUGAUAUAUUCACCCUCUUUUGUUGGCUUUUAACAUCUCCUCGGCUUAUCGCAGUUUUUUCAACUUACUGCCUUCCUUUUUGCUAGCUUUCCCAAAACACGAUUGUUUUCCACUUCUCUGUGCAUGGCACAUUUACUUAAAGAACAUGUACUAGGCUUCAUUAAUGGUCUCAUAUACGAGACAUGCAUGGAAGGUGAAAAAAGGACUCAAAUCACCACUGAAACGUAAGAAGCAGCUCUGAAUGGCUGCCAGUAUGCUUAUUAGGUGGCUAGGUGCUCCAACUGUGACAGGAGACCGCAUGCCUGUAUAAUCAAGGAACACGUGCUAUGUCCUGUGACAGUGGCCCUUUUCCAUUCUUGGUAUGCUUCACCACAGUAAGUUGCAUAUGCUUCAGCGCAUAACACAGCUGUAUUUGGGCGAAUCUGACCAGUGAGGUUCGAAUUAUCCGACGAAGGCCAAUUUUGAGAUUGAAAUAACAGAAGUUUGGGCUCACAGAAAUGUAUUUCAUUAAAUAAAAAACAAUCAUCAGCAAACAACUUUAUUUAAAAGGGGUGACUGACUACUUCUAUAUCAUUAAUAUAUAUUAAAAAUGACAAGAGGCCAAGCAUGCUUUGAGGAACACUGGAAGUAACUGGCACUUCAUGGGAAGGGCAAUCGCUUAUGCUGACGAAUUGUUUGUGCUUAGUUAAGUAUGCAGAGAUUCAGCCAAUUAAGUAUGGCAGAAGAUUUGUGAUUUCGAGCUUCUCAAUUAGUUUAGAGUGUCAAACAAGCUCAAAUGCUUUUCUGUCUGCAAUACAGGAAUAUAACAUCAAUCUGGCCAGGUUUAUCAAGAAUGCUAGCAAAUGCUUGCAUGUAUAAACCCGUGAUCCAACUUCCAAUAAAUCGUUGAAAGUACCAAUUGUGUGUGUCUCUUCUCUCGUCUGUCUUGUCUUGUCUGCGCUAAGCACUAAAAAAAUGUUGUACCAACAAUGUUAAAAGUCCACCCUUGCAAUGUAAAGUUUCUUUCUUUUUUCAAAAAUACUCCACACUUCUCUGAAAUGUGAACAUAUUUGUUAUUCAAUAAUCAAUAGGUCAGUUUCGUCAAAUAUCCAUAUUUAAUUCUAUCCAGAAAUAUCAGAAUAUGAAAACUUCUACUACAUAUGGGCCUUCAGUGGAGCAGUAUGGCCUUAAAUGCGUGUAACCAAUGCUACUUACAGGGAACACAAGAGGUGAGUCUGGGGUCUUAUGUGCAAAACCACGACAUGAUUAUGAGACACACCAUAGUGGGGGACUCCGGAUUAAUUUUGACCACCUGGAAUUCUUCAAUGUGCACUCAAUGCAUGGUAAACAGGUGUUCUUGCAUUUCUUCCCCGUGGAAAUGCAGCUGCUGCAGUCGGAAUUUGAUUCCGCGCCCUUGGGAUUAGCAGCACACAAUGCCAAAGGCAUUAUGGCGGGUUUUGAAACUCGAGAGGUGGAAAAGAAACCGCGGAAAGCUUUAGAAGAGAUGUUUUUUAGAUUGUUUGACACAUGUAAUGCCAGUCAAACCAGGCUUCUGGCCAACUGAUAAGUUUGUAAAUGUGAGUGACUGAAAGGUGAUAGUAUCUGCCGCACCAAGAUGACAUCAGGAACAUGUUCACAUUGUCCAAAUGAUAAUUUUUACAGCCUCAAUUGAGAAAACAAAUCCGUUGGCUGCCUAAAGGCGAGGCAUCCUUACUGCGCGACUAGAAAUUACUAAGCAAAGCAAAAAAGUACCUGCUGUAUAUGUCCGCUCAGGAACUGCAGUUCCCUUUGAGAAUGGUCACCACAUGCACCUGACUUUCUCCCUAAAGAUUCCAGUAUGUGUAAUUAUUGACAGAAAGGAAGAUUUGAUCACUUCUAAUUGCGUGUUCUCCAAUUGAAUACAAGUCAAAUGGUCAACAACUAUUUGAUUUACAUUUGACAUUUUGAACAUUUGCACAGCACAAAUAUGUACUCCAGCCAUACUCGAGAAGAACGCCAUCAGUGCAGAUUGUGAAACACCUGACGAGUAGGGAAAAAAAAAGCUUCGUUUCCAGGGCUCUGAAAUUAUUUUGAGUUUUGUGCAAGUGCACCGUCAGUAGCGCACCUACUGGUGAUGAUCAAGGGUUCAGCAUUUAAUAUAUCUGCUCUUACCAACACUAACAAUACGAGAUAUUCCUCUAACAAUUCUUUCCUUCCUCAAAUAAACACUAAUUGUCAAUGUUUACUGCUCUUUUAUGGCGAUUAAACACUAAAUUAAACCACCCCAUAUUAAAGCCUGCCGCACAACAUUAACAUUCAAGAGAGAUAUGAAGAAAUAUUUACUAUCGACACUACUGGCUACAGACUCAUUACUAUGAACAUAUAUUAUAUACAAAUUUAUUUUAACACUUCCAGUGCUUCUGUAUUUGCCUAAUGUAUCGCUUUUAUUCUCCAUAUCCCAUUGUCUUUAUUUUUUCCUUCCUUAUUUUUAGAAAUUUUAAGUUUCUUGUCGCACAGUAUAUAUUUCACUUGUACUUUGCAUAUUGUAAGCAUAUUUUUGUUUCUAAUUAUCUCGUACAUUAACCUUGUGUUCUUUGAUAUGUGUCAUCCCUAUGUUUCCAUAACGUGCUAAUUACUACAUUUUUAUUUAUUUAUACACAGCAUCUAUUUCAUUUGCUUGUAUUUGUAAGCACCUUCCUUGUAUUUGAUUACUUGCUUCAUUAACUUCGUGUAUUCUGAUGUGUAUCACUGCUAUGUUGCCAUAAUGUAUUAAUUACUAUAUUGUUAAACUACUAAUAGGUCCCACUGACAGUUUUUGUAACUUCGGGACCUCCUUCUGUACUAAUGAUGAAUGAUGAAAUAAAAUUUAGGUAUUCUGCA